GUUUUAGCUGCCAUUCAACAACAUGCAAUCACAAUAGCCUAAGCUAUUCAAGAGGGUAAAUUAUAGCAACAAGGCCACCGUGCCUUAUGGUAAGCAAUUCAGGCAUGUAAUAGAUAGAGGUUGGCUUGUAUUUUUCUUGGUGGGGGGAAGGACAAACCUGCUACUAGAGCACCGACUGCCACACAAAAUGUCCCAACCUGAAGAAGUAGUUCCACUCUGCUUACCUCAAGCCUCCGAGAGCUGAUAAAAAUUUUAAAAACAGUGCUAUUUCAUUAGUUAAAGGAUUGUGGAUUCAGACACAAAUGAAAGUUAAGUUAGUUAUGGAUCUUAAAAUUCAAAUUAUCAAUAU